UAUUUUUAAACUAGACGAUUACCGUACCAUAAUUAAAAUUUAACUAUUGAAUUUAAUGUUCUUUAUAACUUACUUUAUCAAUCACAAAUUUAAACUUCAAUAAUAACUAUGAAGUACUUCAAAUUUGUAUUUACACCGGUUCUAAUUUGGAUGAAUUUUGAAGUAUGUAACAGUAGAGGGAUCAACGGUGGAAUCGGAUGCGCUGCGUGCACUUUGACAACUGGAAUUGCAAUGCAUAUGAGUGAAGUUAACAACGAUACAAUUCUAGCAACUGCUGCCAAUAUUUGCCGUUCACUGCCGGAAGUAAUUGUUAAACCUUGUUUGAGAACACUUGACAAGUUGGAACCUUACCUAACUUCGGCCGAGGUUCAUCAACUAUUCACUCCGGAUCUUAUUUGCUAUGGUCUUCAUUUUUGUCAUGUGGACGAGGGAGCGCAGUAUUGCAAUCUCUUCCCAAAACCCAAAUUCAUCGGUUUCCAUGAAGCAGUUCAAAAGUUGCGAUUUGAACAUGCAAAGAUCGGUGGCUACCGCAACGUGAAGUCGUUCGAUGCCUGCACUCUGCCAAUAGUGAGUGAAUUGUGCACGGCACUCUAUGAAUGGUUUGAAAAUAUGCAGCCAGCUAUUGACGAGGAUGAUGACUUAUUCAGUACUUUCAAUGUAGCACGUGGAACAUUCUGGAGAGGCCAGGAUUGCAACGAUUCAGAUGCCGAUACCCAUCCUGGACGUACCCCUCUUAACAGUGACGCCAAAUUUGAUUCAAAUUGCAAUGGAAUUUUUGGAUUGCGACCGUCUGACCACGUUCCCUGGGAAAAAGCAUUAUGUGAUGGAACUGAAGGCAGAGGCGUAAUAACUGUAGGCGACUCAAUUGGAGCUCAUUUUCACAUGCCAGAGUCUUGGUUUGAUGCUUCACUUUUCACUUUGGAUGUAAUAAAGAACAUAAGUAGUCAAAUCUUCAACGAAUUUGAUUGGCCAGAAAUGAGUUUCAGUACAGGAUUUAUGAACUCAACGGAACCGCUGAUCAUUAAAGGGAGGACUGACUCAAUCUAUCUUCGCUUGAGGGAACGCAACCUGUGCAAUCAUAGGGACUAUCAAAACCUGGCACGUAAUGGUUACUCAAGCUUUGAUCACCUCAACACCUCUUAUAAGAUUGCACGGAGCAUGGUUGACAAGCCUGUUCUCCUUUUAUUUGAACUACUGGGAAAUGACGUUUGCAACAAGUAAAAUAGACCAAUCCCGACACUCUCAAUAAUAUGACAACUGUUGAACAGUUUCGGUCGAAUAUUCUUUCCUUUAUGAUGAAAUUGGACAAAAGGCUACCACCCAGAAGUCACGUCGUAUUAUUUGGACUUGUUGAUGGCAGUAGAAUUUAUACAGACAUGGCUGAGAGGUAUCAUCCAAUUGGUCGCUUACAUCAUAAUGUGAAAUAUAAGGAUGUUUAUGAGUGGUUCCUUUGCAUGCAGAUAGGACCCUGCAAUGGAUGGAUGAAUCCAGAUGCUGAGAUACGCGCUUCAACUACUAAGGUUUGUAGUUUAAUUGAUGAAACGUAAUGAAUUAAUUAAUCAUUAGUCGUUAACAUAUGCCAAACGAGUAUUAAUAGGUCUUAUUUGUGCUUAUGCUAAUCACAAUUGGUGC